AUGGGCUAAAGGAUAUUUCAUUUAUUACAUGCAUGCUUGCCCAGACAUAUAUUUUGUUUUAAAUAAGACUAUACUAUUAAGUUAAAAAGUGUAUAUUCAUAUCAUUGCACACAGCGAUCCAUCAUGUUUCCUAUUAGAGGGGCUUAAAAAAUGACUUUUUUUUCAUCGCGGGCAUGGCUUUAGGGUGCCUCUGCACCAUUUGGCGCAACGGGUGUUGUGUAAUAAUCUACUGAUAGCCAGUUACAACAUCAUUUUACUAUGGACAUUGCAUAUGAUGUUCUUUAUUCUCAGCAAAUCAAACAUCUCAUUUGUUUCUCAUACUAUUCUCUACAAAAAACUACGCGUUCCUGAAGCUGGAGUCAUAAUGGCGUUAGUAACCUUGGUGAUGCUUCUUACACGACAAACCAACUUGUUCUUGAUUAUCCUAUGGGUUAUUUAUCCAGAUGUUGCACAUAGGAGUAUUGUGGAGCUAAUAAUAUUUGAAUCUGAGCUAGCCUACUAUUUCAAUUUGAGGUCCCUCAUACAGUGGUUCAGAAAAAAAACUAUCCAAUGGAGAUGAUGCAUGAGGAGCAGCAAAGACAUGAUCCAUGAAGCCUAUGUUGUUCUUUUUCUCGCUCUGAACAAGCAAUCAACGCGGCACAUGUGGAAGUUGAGCUGUGAAUGGCACCGGUCUUGUCAUACUAAUGAGCAGGAGCACCGGCCACAUUACUCUUCAUGCCACUCUGAGCAGUGGCUGCUGCUUGAGAUUGAUUUCCAUGUUCAAGGGAAGGGAGACCUGAUUGAGUUCCUGUAUAUGCAAGGAUAAAGAAGAAGGGGCAUUGUCGUGGUUGUUGCUGAAGGUGUUGGUCAGGAGCUGAUUACCGGGACUGAUGACAAGAAUGGAGAGCAGGAUGAGUAUGUCAACAUGUUGUUCCUUGACGUUGGCCUUCUUCUAUAAAGUUCACAUGCAAAUCUCCUCCAUGGUUUGAAAAAACUAAUUUAAACAUUUUGUUUCUUUGAUGGUUACUCAUUUCUCUUACCGUUGUUGUAUCAAAACAAUUGUAUUUUUGUUGAUGGCCGCUUGGGCUCAUUUUCGAGGAGAAUGAGAUGUGGAAUAAACUACUCUGAAA